rnacentral:rRNA from 1 species
GUCUAUAUCCAUACCACCCUGAACGUGCCCAAUCUCGUCUGAUCUCGGAAGCUAAGCAGGCUCAGGCCUGGUUAGUAUUUGGAUGGGAGAAAUAUUGUGCCCAGUGUUGGGAGCUGAGGGUUUUUAGAAC